rnacentral:rRNA from 1 species
GAUGAACGCUGGCGGCGUGCCUAAUACAUGCCAGUCGAGCGAACGGACGAGAAGCUUGCUUCUCUGAUGUUAGCGGCGGACGGGUGAGUAACACGUGGAUAACCUACCUAUAAGACUGGGAUAACUUCGGGAAACCGGAGCUAAUACCGGAUAAUAUUUUGAACCGAAUGGUUUAAAUGUGAAAGACGGUCUUGCUGUCACUUAUAGAUGGAUCCGCGCUGCAUUAGCUAGUUGGUAAGGUUACGGCUUACCAAGGCAACCAUGGAUAACGGACAUGAGAGGGUGGUCCGCCACACUGACACUGAGACACGGUCCAGACACCGGCGGUAGGCAGCAGUAGGGAAUCUUACGCAAUGGGCGAAAGCCUGACGUAGCACCGUCGCGUGAGUGAUGAAGGUCUUAGGAUCGGAGAACUCUGUUAUUAGGGAAGAACAUAUGUGUAAGUAACUGUGCACAUCUUGACGGUACCUAAUCAGAAAGCCACGGCUAACUACGUG